AGGAAACCUCCAUUACUCCUCGUUUAUUAGGAUAACAAUGCUCUUUCUCUCCCUCUCUCAUCUUUUAUUUUCCUCCUUCCACAUGCAUUUCUGCAAGCCUUCUCCUCACUGAUAAUUCAUUUCUUUGCAUCUUUCAGUUUUUGGUUCAAGAAAAAGCACCUAUCUUUUCCUGUCUGUUUGUCUGAUUUCCCCACUUUUGCUAUCUCUUUCGUCUCAUGAUUUUGUUCAUCAAUUUCGUUUUUGAAAAAUUUGGUAAUUUAGGGAAGGGUUGGCAAUAGGAGGUUCGGCUGUCUGACAAACAACGGAGGACCACUUCGUUGUGUCUAUCGACCCCCUUGUAAUUCCUGCAAGUCUGCAAUCACCGCAUGAUGGUGAUGAGGGUUCCAGUUCUCGAAUUGCUGAUAUAUAUCAUAGUGUUAUUCAUGUCGUUGAGGUUGGCGGAUGUGAAACAUCGGACGAUGACCACCUUGUUCAAAGAGUAGAAUGUCGCAUUUGUCAGGAGGAGGAUAGCCUUGAUAAUAUGGACAUUCCCUGUUCUUGUAGGGGCACCAUGAAAGCAUCUUUAAUACCAUAAACCACUUUCUAAAUUCAAUCAUAUGAAACGUUGCCGAAACAUAGCACUGAUAACUAGCAUCUAGUAUAUGGAAAACAUCUUAUCUGAUGAUGCAAUUAAAGUUUUUUUUUUUUUUUUAAAACAUUAGUUGGCACACUGGAGAUGCGUUCAGCUAUGGUGCAAUGAAAAGGGAGACACUAUUUGUGAGAUCUGCCAUCAGGUAACCUCAUUGCAAUAUCAGCAAAAAAAAAAAAAAAAAAGGCAGAUUUCAGCUAACCUUCUGAGAUAUAGUAUGCAGAUUUCAAAUUUCAGUUUGUGGACUGUGAAUUAUGAACUCUGUUUACAAACUCUGUUUGCAAAGAACCUCAAUAUUGGAGCCAAACCUAGAUAAUGAAGAAAAAGAAGUAAACAAUGCAUGCUCAUACUGAGGGUAGAAUAGAAAUAUAAAUAACCAAAGGUUGAUCAUUGGGAGAAAAUUAGCCGUUUGUUCCAAGAAAGGUUAAAGUAGUGUAUUCAAUGGUUGCAUAUUGAGGCCAAAAAAAAGUGGCAUAUUCAUAUUAAAUUACAUAUUCUUAUGGAAAAUUUAAAUUUAUCCACAUCCGUACAAACCGGGUUAUAGCCCCUACAGCCCGAAGUUGCUCCAAAUAAUAUCAGGCAAGUUGAAAAUUCUGUAGUUUGUAUGUUGAUGUCUAGUGUUUUAUUCUUUUAUGAAUUCACCUAUUGUUUUUGCUUGCAUAACACAAACUACAUAUAUGAUUAGCUUAAAUGUAAAGGAGAGUUUUUACUUCUCAGAUAAAAAGGUAUAGAUUUUGUUUACUCUUCCUCUUUUAUGUUAGUCCAGUUUCAUUUUACCUUUCCAGCUGCACCUGCCAUGCAGUAUAUUGUUACCUUUCUGCCUUGCCUAGUCCCAUAAUGGAAUUAUGGAAGUGCAUCACAUGUUAUGAUCACUGCUUGUUAUUUUGCUUCCCUCAUGCUUCUGGGCUAUUAUGCAGGACUGGUUGGACAAUCUCCCGUGGCCCUUUAGAUCUGUACGAUCCUCAAACUUUGGCAAUUGGAGCAUUGGAGCACCAUGUCCUCGAAGCUGAGCAUGAUGACUAUGUUUACAGUAGCACGAGCGUAUAUAACACUUAAACUUCUAAAGCAUGCUGCUUCGCUCUUAAAUACUGAUGGGGAGAAAGCUAUGGCCUAUUUUUCAGUAAGUUGGUGAUCAACGCUUGAUGAGUUUUACUGUCUCCUUUCUAGAGAAUGGUUGGUCUUAUAGUGUGUACUGUUUCCAGUUCACCUUGUGUCGUGCUGUUGCUUUUGUAAUUCCUUUCUAUCUUAUGGCUAGAGCCAUUCGUUUCAUACUGAGUCGAUGGCAAAGACAGGCUAAUACAGAAUCGUUUAAUA